ACGUAGGGCGCAAGCGUUGUCCGGAUUUAUUGGGCGUAAAGAGCUCGUAGGCGGUUUGUCGCGUCUGCUGUGAAAGCCCGGGGCUUAACCCCGUGGUGUGCAGUGGGUACGGGCAGACUAGAGUGCAGUAGGGGAGACUGGAAUUCCUGGUGUAGCGGUGAAAUGCGCAGAUAUCAGGAGGAACACCGAUGGCGAAGGCAGGUCUCUGGGCUGUUACUGACGCUGAGGAGCGAAAGCAUGGGGAGCGAACAG
rnacentral:rRNA from 1 species